rnacentral:rRNA from 1 species
UUAGGAAUUUUGGGCAAUGGGCGCAAGCCUGACCCAGCAACGCCGCGUGGGUGACGAAGGCCUUCGGGUUGUAAAGCCCUUUCUGGAGGAAGAUGAUGACGGUACUCCAGGAAGAAGCACCGGCUAACUACGUGCCAGCAGCCGCGGUAAUACGUAGGGUGCGAGCGUUGCCCGGAUUUAUUGGGCGUAAAGGGCGCGUAGGCGGCUGUGCACGUCACAUGUGAAAUCGCCUGGCUCAACUGGGCGGGGUCAUGUGAUACGGCACGGCUUGAGCAAGCUAGGGGGUCGUGGAAUUCCCGGUGUAGUGGUGGAAUGCGUAGAUAUCGGGAGGAACACCAGUGGCGAAGGCGGCGACCUGGAGCUUUGCUGACGCUGAUGCGCGAAAGCGUGGGGAGCGAUCCGGAUUAGAUACCCGGGUAGUCCACGCCGUAAACGAUGCGGACUAGGUGUCGGGGGGUAUCGACCCCCUCGGCGCCGGAGCUAACGCAUUAAGUCCGCCGCCUGGGGACUACGGCCGCAAGGC